rnacentral:lncRNA from 1 species
GAGAACAGAAUGGUAGCCCUGUUGAAAGAACAGGUUGAUAUCUUCACCUGAUUGUAUCAAGAUACACCGGGGGGAAAUACCCAUGUUGUGGGGCACGAGCUACCAUGGAGAGAAGACUGUCCUCCAGUGAAGUGGAAACCGGUGCUGAAAGAUGAGAAUGUGUGUGACUGUCGAGACAUGAAUAGAGCUAGUUCGAGAGAUGAAUUCCCG